GUCGAAAUAUCUCAGUUGGGAGAAGGUUAGACUAUAGAUCGAAAGUCCUUCGUUCGAUCCUGGGUUUCGGCG
rnacentral:tRNA from 1 species